rnacentral:tRNA from 1 species
GCAGAGAUAGGCGCAAGUAUCUGUAAAGUAAAGAAAACGGAUUGCGUGGAAAAUGAAUGGGUUGGACUUAGAAUCCGCAGGUCCGAAAGGACUGUGGGGGUUCGAUUCCCCCUCCCGGCACCA